CCCCCUUUUCCAUAAGCUAAGUGGUACAAUAAAGUCCUUACAAUGUGUCUUGUAUUUGUCAUACACCGUUAUCGGAUGGUAACAAUACAUUUGUGUCUUACUUCAUGCAGUUAAAGUAAUAUUGUGUAUGGAUAAUAAUUUUAAAAAGGUUUAUAUCUAAAUUAUUUAGUGAGUUUUAUUUCACAUUCUAAAUUAGCCGCAGGGCGUAUUAAAACCUGAACGCAUUAUAAAGGAAUAUCCC
rnacentral:lncRNA from 1 species